rnacentral:rRNA from 1 species
AGCGCAGGUGGUUUAAUAAGUCUGAUGUAAAAGGCAGUGGCUCAACCAUUGUGUGCAUUGGAAACUGUUAGACUUGAGUGCAGUAGAGGAGAGUGGAAUUCCAUGUGUAGCGGUGAAAUGCGUAGAUAUAUGGAGGAAUACCGGUGGCGAAAGCGGCUCUCUGGACUGUCACUGACACUGAGGCUCGAAAGCGUGGGUAGCAAACA